GGAUGAAGAACGUAGCGAAAUGCGAUAAGUAGUGUGAAUUGCAGAAUCCAGUGAAUCAUCGAAUCUUUGAACGCACAUUGCGCCCUUUGGUAUUCCAAAGGGCAUGCCUGUUCGAGCGUCAUUUGUACCCUCAAGCUUUGCUUGGUGUUGGGCGUCUUGUCUCUAGCUUUGCUGGAGACUCGCCUUAAAGUAAUUGGCAGCCGGCCUACUGGUUUCGGAGCGCAGCACAAGUCGCACUCUCUAUCAGCAAAGGUCUAGCAUCCAUUAAGCCUUUUUUUCAACUUUUGACCUCGGAUCAGGUAGGGAUACCCGCUGAACUUAAGCAUAUCAAUAAGCGGAGGA
rnacentral:misc_RNA from 1 species